GGGGGACCAGUAUGAAAAAAAAAUUAUGCACUCACUACUGUAAAUCGCUCUGGAUAAGAGUGUCUGCUAAAUGAUGAAAAUGUAAAAAAACAAAUUAGUAACUUGUUUUUCUUCAAAUGGGUUAUAGAAUACAACCUUUUUUUAGAAAAAGUUUGGGAAACCCUGACAUAGCAGCCGGGCCAGAUUACAGACCGGGCACGUGCCCUGGGGCCCCGAUCUUCAGAGGAACCCCAAAAAUAAUCUAAUAGUACAUGAACACAUCACAAACCAUUGUAAAAAUGUGUAGCAUUGCCG
rnacentral:lncRNA from 1 species